rnacentral:misc_RNA from 1 species
CGUUUGGUCACUCUGCCUUUAAAGAUAAAAUUUACUUCUUAAUUCUGCUUAGCUAUUUAAAAAUGGGUGAUUGGGCUAAAAAAGCUGAGGACCAGGAGGUUUCUAAGCUGGUCGACAAACUUAACCUAGACUCUAAAUCUGGCGAAGAAACCGAUUUCGAUGUCGCUGAUCCAGCUGAAACAAGUCUCCUCAUAAAAAUACUAGGAAAGGGGCUGGUGAACACAAAGUUAUCUCUCGACAUUCAACAAAAAAAUCCGAAUUCACCCUUACAUUCCGUAAAAACAUUUGAAGCUUUACACCUAAAAGCAUCUCUGUUAAAAGGAAUUUACGCAAUGGGGUUUAAUACUCCAUCAAAAAUUCAAGAAACAGCGUUGCCAACUCUUCUUGCAGAUCCACCACAAAAUAUGAUAGCACAAAGCCAGUCUGGGACAGGCAAAACAGCGGCAUUUGUAUUGGCCAUGCUUAGCCGAGUCAACGUUGGUUUAAAUCAUCCUCAGGUUCUGUGUUUAUCCCCUACGUACGAGUUGGCAAUUCAAACUGGAGAAGUGGCUGCGCGAAUGGGACAAUUUUGCCGGGAAAUAAAGCUAAGAUUUGCGGUCCGUGGAGAAGAGGUUGACCGCAGUAAAAAAAUUGAAGAACACAUUUUGAUUGGUACCCCAGGAAAACUUUUGGAUUGGGGAAUAAAAUUUCGUUUAUUUGAUAUGAAGAAAAUAACCGUUUUUGUAUUGGAUGAAGCAGAUGUAAUGAUAGCCACCCAAGGUCAUCAUGAUCAAUGCAUUCGAAUACACAAAAUGCUGAAUCCACAUUGUCAAAUGUUGUUUUUCUCUGCUACUUAUGGUAAAGAGGUUAUGGACUUUGCUCGGCUGAUUGUUGCAGAUCCCACAAUAAUAAGAUUAAUGCGUGAAGAGGAAUCACUUGAAAACAUAAAGCAAUAUUAUGUUAAGUGUAAAAAUGAAGAAGGAAAAUAUAAUGCGAUUCAAAAUAUUUACGGUUGCAUUAGCGUUGGCCAAGCUAUAAUAUUUUGCCAUACACGAAGAACUGCUGCUUGGCUUGCAGCAAAAAUGACGUCGGAUGGUCAUUCUGUUGCUGUUCUUACCGGGGAUUUAACAGUUGUGCAAAGACUUGAUGUCUUAGAUCGUUUCCGUUCAGGACUUGAAAAGGCAUUGAUAUUGAACAAGUUACAAUUGUAGUCAAUUUCGAUUUGCCCGUAGACGUUGAUGGAAAGGCUGACUGUGAAACUUAUUUACAUCGGAUAGGACGGACUGGAAGGUUUGGAAAGUCUGGAAUCGCCAUAAAUCUUAUAACAGAUGAGAAGACCAUGAAAGUGUGUUCCGAUAUCGAAAAACAUUUCAA